rnacentral:rRNA from 1 species
UAUCUCUGUAGAGUCUGCAUAUCAAUAAGCGGAGGAAAAGAAACUAACUAGGAUUCCCUUAGUAACGGCGAGUGAAGCGGGAAGAGCUCAAAUUUGAAAUCUUCAAGGUUUUACCUUGACGAAUUGUAGUUUAAAGAAGUGUUUUCUGUUGGUGUUUUGGUAAAAGUUCUUUGGAAUAGGACAUCAUAGAGGGUGAGAAUCCCGUAUUUGACCAUUACUUCCAGCGUUGUGAUACACUUUCAAAGAGUCGGAUUGUUUGGGAAUGCAGUCCAAAAUGGGUGGUAAAUUUCAUCUAAAGCUAAAUAUUGGCGAGAGACCGAUAGCGAACAAGUACCGUGAGGGAAAGAUGAAAAGAACUUUGAAAAGAGAGUUAAACAGUACGUGAAAUUGUCAAAAGGGAAGCGUUUGACACCAGUGUUGUUUUCUCGAAAAUCAAUUAAAAAGUGUUGGAUUUUGUAUUGUUAAGACCUUAUCAGCUUACUGUACUCUUUUCCUGCUCUUUUUAAUGCACUUUUCGUUUAACAAGUCAACAUCAAUUUCUUUUGUUGUAAAAGAGUCAUUGGAAGGUGGCUUUCACUUCGGUGAAAGUGUUUAUAGCCUUUGGACUUCUGCAAUCGGAGAGACUGAGGUCUGCAGCGUAGAUCCUUCUGGGAUUAGAUUACAGUUAGAUGCUAAGUUAUAGCUUUUUAUAGACAACUUGUUGACUAUGAUUUAAGUCAUUGUAGCUUACUCGCUUAUGCGCUAUUUUACCUACGCUUAGGAUGUUGAAUCUGUGCGAGACUAC